CAUUGGGAAGACCAAGCUACAUAAACAAGCCUUCUGCUGGUGUAGGCAGAGCAAGAUGGCCAAAUAAAACCCUCCAGUGAUUACCCCCACCACCCCCGCAGAAACAUCAAAUUGAACAACUAUCCACACAACAAAGAAUCUUCAUAAGAACCCCAAGUCAGCCCUUUAUGUUCAACAGUUCGACACUCUGCUAAGAAGCUUGAACAACUUUGACCCAGGAAGCAGGGAACACUUUGGGGACAACAGUCACAUGACAAUGCUGCUGUACUUGUGAACAAAUGAAAAUGCUAGACUCACCAUAAAAACAUGGAUAUAGGAAGAAAAGGCCGAUGAAGAGAAAAACAAGUUACAAGAUAAUUCAAUUCUGGACAUACUGACUUGGAGGCAAAUGUGCAGCCAGCAGAUGGAGCGUCCACUAAGUGAUUUAAUAUAUAUAUAAUCUGGAGUAAAGGAGAGAGAUCUGAGCUGAUGUCCACUCGGCAUGUAUAUGCCAAACUGAUUACUAUAAGGGAUACAAAAAUAACGCCCUCCAUGUCUCCUUUCAGGGUCCCAUUUUGUCCUUCUAAAAAACUCCUUUCCUUUGAUUCACGUUCCUAUCACCCAUAGCUAUCAACAAAUAAAUUAUUAGUUGAUAAGGACUUGAAUUUUAAUAGUGGAGAACUAGAAAUGAUAAGAAAACAAAAUUUUUUUUCCCAGGACCCUCAAAACCAAUGGAUGGGCUUUUGAAAUCUUACAAUCAAUUGAAAUUGAACUAUAAGGCUAAGUUGGUCAGGCCAUACAGAUAGUCACAGGCUCCUAAGGCAGAUUUUUUUUUCGCACACAUGCAUUAUUUUCUGAAAAGGUGAGUGUGGUGGAUUCACUGGAGCCAUCAGAAGUGAAUACAUAGCAUUUUUCCUGACAUUUCUUCCUUCUCAAUAAAUCAAAUUAACUAUAAAAUAUCAUCAGCGUAGCAAAUCUGCUUUCCCUUUCAUUUUUGUUUUUCAUUUCAAAUUAAUAUCAGAUAAAACAAUUAAUGUCUUUCAGAGUAUUUUCCAGAUCAAAAAUAA